rnacentral:rRNA from 1 species
GUGCCAGCAGCCGCGGUAAUACGGAGGGUGCAAGCGUUAUCCGGAUUCACUGGGUUUAAAGGGUGCGUAGGUUGAUAGGUAAGUCAGUGGUGAAAUACUCCGACUCAAUCGGAGAACUGCCGUUGAUACUAUCUAUCUUGAAUACGGUGGAGGCGGGCGGAAUGCGUCAUGUAGUGGUGAAAUACUUAGAUAUGACGCAGAACACCCAUUGCGAAGGCAGCUCGCUACACCGGCAUUGACACUGAGGCACGAAAGCGUGGGGAUCAAACAGGAUUAGAUACCCUCGUAGUCC